UACGUAGGGUGCGAGCGUUGUCCGGAAUUAUUGGGCGUAAAGAGCUUGUAGGCGGUUUGUCGCGUCGGGAGUGAAAUCCACUGGCUUAACUGGUGGCUUGCUUUCGAUACGGGCAGACUGGAGGUAUGCAGGGGAGAACGGAAUUCCUGGUGUAGCGGUGAAAUGCGCAGAUAUCAGGAGGAACACCAGUGGCGAAGGCGGCGAUCUGGGAAGAUACUGACGCUGAGGUGCGAAAGCGUGGGGAGCAAACAGG
rnacentral:rRNA from 1 species